CCCUACGGGGGGCAGCAGUGAGGAAUAUUGGUCAAUGGGCGGGAGCCUGAACCAGCCAAGUCGCGUGAGGGAAGACGGUCCUAUGGAUUGUAAACCUCUUUAGGCGGGGAGCAAUGCCGGGCACGUGUGCCCGGAGGGAGAGUACCCGCAGAAUAAGCAUCGGCUAACUCCGUGCCAGCAGCCGCGGUAAUACGGAGGACGCGAGCGUUAUCCGGAUUUAUUGGGUUUAAAGGGUGCGUAGGCGGAUUUUUAAGUCAGUGGUAAAAUGUCCGGGCUCAACCCGGGCCGGCCGUUGAAACUGGGGG
rnacentral:rRNA from 1 species